AUAUUUACCUGUAAUGGGAGAUACCAUGAAAACAAAGGUGGUAUUCCCAGGGAAAGGCUGAUUCAUUGCACUCCAGAUGUGCUCACUUGUACAAUUUCCCCCAAAUGUAGGAAAUUUAACUGCAUAAUUUGUGGUAGUGGGGGAAUGCAUUUGGGCUCUCCCCUG